rnacentral:rRNA from 1 species
GUAACAGGGGAAGCUUGCUUCCCGCUGACGAGCGGCGGACGGGUGAGUAACGCGUAGGAAUCUACCCAGUAGCGGGGGAUAGCCCGGGGAAACUCGGAUUAAUACCGCAUACGCCCUACGGGGGAAAGCAGGGGAUCUUCGGACCUUGCACUAUUGGAUGAGCCUGCGUUGGAUUAGCUAGUUGGUGGGGUAAAGGCCUACCAAGGCGACGAUCCAUAGCUGGUCUGAGAGGAUGAUCAGUCACACCGGAACUGAGACACGGUCCGGACUCCUACGGGAGGCAGCAGUGGGGAAUAUUGGACAAUGGGCGCAAGCCUGAUCCAGCCAUGCCGCGUGUGUGAAGAAGGCCUUCGGGUUGUAAAGCACUUUAAGUUGGGAGGAAGGCUCUGUAGUUAAUACCUGCAGGGAUUGACGUUACCAACAGAAUAAGCACCGGCUAACUCCGUGCCAGCAGCCGCGGUAAUACGGAGGGUGCAAGCGUUAAUCGGAAUUACUGGGCGUAAAGCGCGCGUAGGCGGCUGAUUAAGUCGGGUGUGAAAGCCCCGGGCUCAACCUGGGAACUGCAUCCGAUACUGGUCGGCUAGAGUAUGAGAGAGGGAGGUA